AUGCGCGGUCCUGCCUCCCGCGGCGGGCCGGGUCUCCAGGGAGGACCUGAGUUUUCUUCACCCAUUGUCAGGAAGGCGCCAUCGCCCUGGCUUUUGGGGCUGGGGCCUCCGGGGAGGUUCCGGUAGGGGCGUUGGAGAGGCCCGCUCUUUUUGCAAGGCCCGAGACGGCGGGCCCUGCGCAGGCCGCCCUAUUUCCGCGCGCCCUCAGGGCGUCAGUAUCAGCCUGAGGCUGGAUACCCCCGCUGGCCCCGGAUGCCCCCGCUGGGCCCGGAGCAUCCUCCGGCGCUGCCCUCCCAGAGCCACGCAGAGGCUGAGGUGGCGCGGGGGCGGCCCCGGCUCCGCGAGAAGCGGCGGCAGCGAGGGCUGGAGGACCCGGGCUGCGGGGCUCCGGGGCGUCUGGCCUGGGUGGGACUGAGCCCAUCCAGGGACUGGGACUCUGGGAUUCUGGUGUAGGUGGAUCCGGGGCAGGCUCAGGACCAAGUCCCUCUCCUUCCACCAAGGAGCGCCCAGAGGCCGGCGGGAGCUCCAGGUUCACCUCCUCCUCCUCCAGCUUGACUACCACACAAAUGAAUCCAUUCAAAUGUUGGCAAGUGGAGCAGAGUCCCAGGACAGGUGCUGGAGCAGCCCCCCUGGAAGCGAUGCAGCAUCCAGGAAGAUGGAGGAAGGGGCGGAGAGGGACCUCUGCUUUCCAGGCUGCCUUUUAUACUGCCUCUGGUCACCUGACAUGGAACGUACCCUAACCUAAUCAGUUACAUGAGGCGCUUGGAAACCACCGUCAAUUGGACCGCACUGGGAAACACAGAUGAACAAAGUCAACACCGCUUUGUCCUUCAGUGCCUGGCUCCUUUUUCAGCUCUUCUUGCGACUCCAGGUAUUGGAGUCCAAGGAGGGGUACGUCGCCUUUACCCUGUGCUUGCCACGAUC
rnacentral:misc_RNA from 1 species